ACCAUAAUAUAAUGGAUAUUAAAAUUGCCUAAAAAAUGAAUCAAAAUAUAGUAUUCCCUUCAUAAAAUGUGACUGUGACUUUUACUUGAAGCUAAUAGUAACUUCUAAAAUAAUAUUUCUUGUGCAUUUUUUUUUAGUGCAGCUUUUUGUGUUUUAAAAUGUUAGGCUCUGUCUUGUCAUCUCCAUAAAGACUUUUUUUUUUUUUUUUUUUUUUCAUUUUUCACCUCUCUUCUUUUCACAGCUAUUUGUAAGGCCUCCCCAGACAGCCAUUUUGCUUUUUUGCAUUUCUUUUCCAUGGGGAUGGUCUUGAUCCCUGUCUCCUGUACAAUGUCACAAACCUCAUUCCAUAGUUCAUCAGGCACUCUAUCUAUCAGAUCUAGGCCCUUAAAUCUAUUUCUCACUUCCACUGUAUAAUCAUAAGGGAUUUGAUUUAGGUCAUACCUGAAUGGUCUAGUGGUUUUCCCUACUUUCUUCAAUUUAAGUCUGAAUUUGGCAAUAAGGAGUUCAUGAUCUGAGCCACAGUCAGCUCCUGGUCUUGUUUUUGUUGACUGUAUAGAGCUUCUCCAUCUUUGGCUGCAAAGAAUAUAAUCAAUCUGAUUUCGGUGUUGACCAUCUGGUGAUGUCCAUGUGUAGAGUCUUCUCUUGUGUUGUUGGAAGAGGGUGUUUGCUAUGACCAGUGCAUUUUCUUGGCAAAACUCUAUUAGUCUUUGCCCUGCUUCAUUCCGCAUUCCAAGGCCAAAUUUGCCUGUUACUCCAGGUGUUUCUUGACUUCCUACUUUUGCAUUCCAGUCCCCUAUAAUGAAAAGGACAACUGUGGUGUUGGAGAAGACUCUUGAGAGUCCCUUGGACUGCAAGGAGAUCCAACCAGUCCAUUCUGAAGGAGAUCAGCCCUGGCAUUUUUUUGGAGG
rnacentral:lncRNA from 1 species